CCAAUCACGUCACGUGAUAUUCAAAUCUCCCGCCACGGUGCCACCAGGUAAACACAAUAGACACCAGGUUCACCAGGUGCUGAAUUCUUCCCGUAGCGUGGUCCGUGGACGUGUCGUCUUCCUAAUUUCGGCUCCCCAAAUGUAUGCAAACUGUACAUUUUGCCCACAUUUUCACGGAUGUUUUCCACAAAAAUUGUGGGGAAAAGCUUCUGGAACAGCGUGGACAGUGAUGGGCGGACAAAGUUUCAUGAGGAGCUUGGAUGAACGGUUGGAUUACUCCGGAUUCAAAAGUGGGACAUAGCGUGCAGUGCCAGGCAGCCGUAAGCGGACACGUGCAGCACACCCAGCCUCCUACUUCAACGCGAAGUCCGGCUCGAACAAUGUCAACACUUCAUUCUGCUUCCCUCAGAACAAAUCGCCAGAGUGAAGCCAUGGGAGAGAGGAGAAAACGCAGCUCCUCAACGCCGAUAUGUUCGCUGACUGCCUGACGCUCCACAGUGGUGAAAAUACUCCGAAACCUAGUCUCCAAGCAGAUGUAAGGAUCGGCUCAUUCUGUUUUUUUUUCGCCAGCUAUCGCAACAUUAAGAAUGCCUUUAUGUAUUGCACUCUCUGAAUCAUUCGCCUCUAGAGCUGUGUCCUUACAUUCGCUUUGAGAAUAGAAGAACCAGGUAAGUUACAUUACUUCCUUUAUUUCACUUCCACCCCACCCAUCUUUUAUUUUUCCCCCAUCCUUCUUUACCCCACCCUUCUCUCUGCCCCUCUACCCCUCUACCCCACCCAAGCUUUGUUACUUACUUCUUCCUGUCCUGUCUCAGCAACCUUAAAUCUAUUUCCAACCUUCCUCUUCCACCUUUCUUUGACUCCACGUCAUCUUCCACCCUCAUCCAACCCCCGGGCACCCAUGCCAGCAACAUGCAAUACGCUUAUGACGACAUCCCUGCAGCCCCUGCGAUCGUGCUUAAAUAUACAGUAAUUUCGUACAAGAUAGUUAUGUUAUUCUAUUGAGAGCGCGCGUAAUACAUAGGUGAUCAGAAUGCAUCCAGCAGCAGCGGCGGCGUUAUCAUAUAACAUUUCAUGGCAUAACUCAAGACGUUGUGAACAGAUUUGCGAUAUUUGGUAUGUGGGAUAGACUGAUUUUGAACAUUGACUUUCUUUAACGUAUAGUAUUCCUGCCUUACUUCCACUGAGACUGGCCAUUGAACGCUAAAAAAACUCGAAUUGUACAAUUGUUUAAACAAAUUUCGUAUUUAUCAAGAAGUGUGCUUUCUUGUCUUUCAAAUUUUUCUGCACCGUGGAUGAUACUUGAUUUUUAAGUUAUUAUAAAUCAUAUUUUUGUUGCUGUGUUCUAUCAAAUGAAGUGAAGUACCCAUAUGUACAUGGAGGCUACGAGUGUAAAUACUAGUACAUGUAUAUAGUCGUCUAGACUUGAUCAUUUGCAUAAAUCUAUCAUGCAAUUAUUAGUAACAUGCUGAGGCACAUCCCGGAUCGUCUGAGAAAAGACCAGGAAUAUAUGUCUAUGUUGUAACACAAUAAAAAAAUGUACACGUACAUACUGUGUGGCUUUUUAUUUCUGUUACAUCAAAGGGGCAUUCCCCCAAAUAUGAACUAAGGCAUCGCUUAUAGGUAGAAUGCCAUCGUACCAACAAAAUAAAUGAAAUUGUAUACAAAUAUCAGCUGUUUUAAUUAUGAUAAUAAAAUACAGUAUUGUGUAAGUGAUUGGACUGCGAAUAGCAUCCCGUCCUGAGGACUCUUACUGUGAGAGUGACAACAGCCGAACAGUCGAACGCAAGGAUUCCAACCAUGGGACUUUGCACGCCACAUCAACAGUGUAAAGCACUCUUUAGUUGACAUUUGACAUUGACCUUUAUUACAGCGUCACAUCCACCUACAAAUUGACUUAUUUCUCAGAGUUAUUGUUCUUAUUGAAAGAAACUUUUAAAAAAACUUAUUCGGCCUUUGUCUGGAAAAACGCAUAAGUAUAAGAAAAAAGCCUCCCCACCACACUUCGGAUUUACAUUUUUCUUUGAAACACGAAUCGACGAAACUGAAACAUCUUUUCCGUCACUUUAUGUCUCUUUGCUUUACCGCCAAUCCAUUGUUUGGCCCGACGGAAAUCAUCGUUACCUGUUCUAAUCAUGGUUACAAAACAGUUUAACCAA